rnacentral:lncRNA from 1 species
UGGGGGGUGAGUGUUGUGAUUAUGAUUUGGGAGAAAUGAAAAAGGAAAAGAAUAGACUCUUUGUGCUUAAGUGAAUUGUUUUAUUGGGAUAAGUAGAGAAGCCUCUAGCUCAAGUUUUGAAAGUCUUGGCCCCCAGCCUAAAAAAAUAAAAAAAAAAAGGAAAAAGAAAAAAAAACGAAAAAAAAAAGAGAAAAGAAAAAGAAAAAAAAAGAAAAGAAAAAGGGGCUAGCAAAGUUGUUAGGAGCUAAGAAAUAUUUUGAGGUUCUGAAAAAAAUCCCUUGUAGAUUUCAAGGAGAAGGAGUUAAAGUUCUUAGGAUCUUUUGGUGAGAGAUGUGAGUUGG